rnacentral:rRNA from 1 species
AGGACGAACGCUGGCGGCGCGCUUAAUACAUGCAAGUCGAGCGAGAACCGGACCUUCGGGUCCGGGGAAAGCGGCGAACGGGUGAGUAACACGUGGGUAAUCUGCCCUCGGUACUGGGAUAGCCCGGGGAAACCCGGAUUAAAUACCGGAUAGCCUUUCGAGCUCUCGGGCUCGUUAGAAAAUGGUGGCUUCGGCUUCCGACUGAGGAUGAGCCCGCGGCGAUUAGCUCGUUGGUGAGGUAAUGGCUCACCAAGGCUCCGAUUCGUAGCUGGUCU